rnacentral:rRNA from 1 species
AUGUCCAUCCCCCGCCGAUCGCCGCCGCCGACAUCGCCGCCGUGCUCCGGCCUCCUCGGCGCCCUCCACCACAGCGUCUCGGCCGGCCACGCCUCCGCCGCCGUCUCCCUCCUGCCCACCCUCUCCCGAGCCGGCCUGCGCCCGCCCUUCCCGCUCCUCUCCUCGCUCGCCCGCCUCCUCCUGCUCCGCCGCGCCGCGCCGUCCUUCCCCGCCCUGGCAGGCCGCCUGCUGCUCUACAUACGCCUCGCCGGCCUCAAGCAUUUCGUCCCCUCCUCCACCCAGCUCGCCAACCACCUCCUUUCUCUGCAUUUCCUCCUCGGCCGGCCGCGCGACGCCCGCCGCCUGUUCGCCAGAAUGCCCCGCCACAGCGUGUACUCCUGCAAUGCCAUGUUAGCGGGGUACGCCCACCUCUCCCUCGCAGCUCCGGCGGCGGAGAUCUUUGCGGCUAUGCCGCAUCACGACCUCACCUCCUAUAACUCUGCUAUGCUUGCGCUCGCGGGCGGUGGAGAAAUGCGGGGAAGCUUGGUGCUGUACUCCGACCUCCGGCACACGUCUCCUUCCCUUGGCUACAGCGAUCACACCUUCUCGGCGCUCCUGGUGGCGUGCGCUGGUCUCAUGGACAGGGGCCUUGCUAGGCAGCUCCAUGCCCAUUUAUCUCAUCUUGGGUUCUUGUCUGAUAUUGACAUCGCCAGUUCCCUUGUUGAUGUGUACAGAAAAUGUGGCUGCAUUGCUGAUGCACAUAGGCUGUUCGACGAGAUGCCUGUGAAAGACUUGCGCAUGUGGACAUCAAUAGUUUGCGGCUACGCAGAGGAUGGCCAGAUGAGUCCUGCUCGUCAGAUCUUUGAUCAGAUGCAAAAAAGGAGUAUCAUUUCAUGGAAUGCUCUCAUGGAGGGAUAUGUUCGUCAUGGACAGGCAGCAGAAGCAUUGAGUAUUUUUAAGCAUUUGAUCAAGGAUGGUCUUCAACCAGAUCAGUCCACCUUCAGUAGCGCUUUGUCUGCUUGUGCAGCUAUUGGUUCAGUGACACAUGGUAAGCAGAUCCAUGGGAUGUUGCUACAAACUGGUUUUGAUCCCAGUGUAAUUGUUCUUAGCUCACUCAUUGACAUGUACUCGAAAGGUGGUUAUCUGGCCGGUGCCAGGCAGGUUUUCAGUCUAGCAUGUCAGGAGAGGAGGGAUACUGUGCUGUGGAAUGCAAUGUUAUCUGCUCUAUGCCAUCAUGUCCAUGGACAGGACGCGAUAGGAUUGUUUGUUCAGAUGAUUCGGGAGCGAGUGAAGCCUGAUGCUAACACAUUUUUGCUAGUUUUGACAGCUUGUUGCCAUUGCGGCCUAGUUGAUGAAGGCAUGAAUUUCUUGGAGUUGAUGAGCAAGAGAUACAGGAUUGUUCCAGGAGAAGACCAUUAUGUUUGUGUGGUGGAUUUGAUCAGCUGUUCAUCCCGUUCAUGUGAUGAAGUAGUUGAAUGGAUCAGAAGUUCACCAUUCGGUUCUAGCAAACAAGCUUGGGAAACUUUGGUUGGGAAAUGCGCGAUAAAUGGCAACGCAGAGUUGAUGAGUAAAGCAGAGGAGCAGCUAGCCGAACUAGACAGUCCAAAAUAA